ensembl:lncRNA
UCCUGUUGACACGUUCCUGUGACCUCACGGUAAACAGGGCGGGGCUUUGUCCUGCCCAGUUACAGGUAGGUUUAAGUACACCUGAACUCGAAUUGCCUCAGUAGUAAUAAAACGACUCCAGACGAGAUAAUAAUGACAACUUCACUGAUUUUCGCGCUGCUGUUUGUCACGGUGUCGUGUCUACCUGUCCCAGUCUUGCCGAUACUCGGUUUCCCCUGUUUCUGUGGCAAGUUCAAGAGGACAAGAGGGAGUUAAUGUAUUCUAUACCUCCAGAAGACGUGGAUGGAUCAGGAAAUGAUCUAGAAAGUUCUUCUUCUGGAGAAUUGGGGGAAGGGUCCGAAGACGGACAAAGUUCCAAUUACUACGUCACAAUUUCAAAACCCCACGGCAUCGACAGAGAAGACAAAGGCUUCCCAAUCAUAACCCGAAAUGAAAUACCAGAUGACACACACCAGACCUCUAACUUUUGGCCAGAGCUGGGAGACUACCCUGAAUCCAUCACUGGCAAUGUGGCAAAUAGCAGGAGUUUUCUAGUGAACAAAGAAGCUCUUGCAGCUAUCAUUGCAGGUGGUGUGGUGGGACUAGCAUUGGCUGCUAGCUUGCUAACACUGCUCAUCUAUAGCAUGAAGAAGAAAGACUGGGGAGACACUUCAAAGGGAGGAUAUUUGAAAGGCAAUACCAAGGAGUUUAUGGUGUAACUUUCCUAUGAAUGAAUGAAUGACUGCAAAUCGCUUUGGAUAUAAGUGUUGGCCAGAUGGGACGUGCUGUUAGUUUAAAACCAGGCGGAUUGAACCCUGAAUGUUGAUUGCAAGCUGUUGUAUACAAGACUAUAUCACGGGUGAUAAUAAAACAUGUAUUUUUACUGUUCAAAUGGCAAUAUGUUGUUCCACACUUUCCUGUCAAAUAAAGCAUAAAAUUGCCUGAAAAAUAUGUAUUUAAAAAAUACAUAUAUACCGUCACACUUUAUUUGCAUAGUCACAAUUACAAUCUGUUGAUGCUCUAGAGAUAUUUAUACUAUCCACAACAUAUAUGAAAAACUAAAUAAAUGCUUGUUAGGCUAGGGUUAGAUCAAGAAAGAGAGUUAGGGAAAGAAUUAAGGUUAUUGUAAGAAGAUAGUUAAUUGAAAUGUUAUAGAUGAUGUAGGUCAGUGGUUCCCAACCAGGGGUACUAGG